UUCACGUAUAAAAAAUUUUAAACGAAAUUUCUCAAAAAAAAAAAGAUAAUUACUGCAAAGAAAUAUUCUGGAAAGAGAAAACAGGAAGAUAAGAAUUAAAAUUUGUAUAAUACUAUUUAUAUAAUUCAUUAGAUAAGAAUUUCCUAGUGAAAUACAAUAUUGGAAUAGUUCCAACUCCAUUACAAAUGUGAAGGAAAAGUAGUGUCGGACAACCAAUUGAUUCGUUCAUCGAACGGACAUCAUAUAGAUGUCAUUAGCUUGGCCUCAUCUGUUUUUAGACUCUGGGAGUGUAAUGAAAACCGAGAAGGAAUAGGAAGCCAAUCCGUAAUUAUAGCUACGAUUGUUUCUUGUUAGGCUAAAUUCGAGAUCUAGAAACGUUCUGCCGAUCGUUGGUUAAAAAGGGAAGGACGAAAUUAUAUACAGUACCGUACAACAAAAUUUCGGCGUGUUAUAUUAAUAGGAACGUUCUAUGUAAACAAACACGGCGGCCGCGCGAUAAGUGAUUGCAUAUUUUUGAAUGUUUACAACAAAAUCGACUCGGGUUAAUUUUAUUAAGAGAAUUAUAGUCGAUAAUCGGGUCAGGGUAACGAGAAAGGAGGGGUUGGAAAAAAUUCCCGAUUUAUAAACACGAUAGGAUGAUGUUUCAUUCAGAAUUUUGUUGGAAGUAUUUGAAAGUUGAGCCUCGUAACGGAUGAUGGGAAUCAAGGACUCUAUGGGAGGGAGAGCAAAUGGCGAGGAAACGCGCCCAAACGAACUUCCGGUCCGAGAUGGUCGUCGCUUCGCUCGAUGACGCCAUUUCCGCUCAGAAUAGUAUUCGGAUGACUGCAGAUGUAGGUUAAUGGCAAUUGAAGGUGAUAUUAGUAAAGUUUUCUUAUGAAUGAAUUGUAUACGAAAGUUAACUAGACACGCAUUGGAGAGGCUUCGUUUACGUUUGGCGAGAUUCUUGAUAUUUAAUGAAAUCUGUCUUAGAAACGUUAGACAUUUCCUCCAGGUGAAAGUAAUCGUUUAUAUUAAAUUUUGCACCAGUUCGCAGUGUCUUUUAUAGUCUAAUAAUAAAAGAAAAAAUAGCGAAAUUCAAACAUUAACAGGAUUUAGCAGGCUGUCAAUUAAAUAUUCGACAUUCGAAAAAACCUUUCGUUAGUUUGUUUCUAUAUAUAGAACUGGAUACGAUGAGCCAGGGUGUGGUAUAAUUUUGCAACAGUAGCUUAGAUUUUUUGAAUCGCAUUAUCACCAGUGGCGUUUAUCAAAGUUGUACGUGCGUAAACAACAGGAAGGAAGGAAAAAAUACUUAAUAUCUAAUCGAAUUCCAAUACGUUUGAGUCAUUUAUUUCAGACUGGAUGGACUUUCAUCCCUUUAGAAAAUAUUCGACGGCGAAAGUAGGAAAUCCAUUUCGGAGUAAACGCGAAUGAAGUGAAGUUAUUCGACAAAUCAUCUGAGACCAAAAAAAAAAACUCUGGAGCGUCCAGAAAUUCUUUUCACUUAUAAAUAUAAUACGUCUAAAGUCAUUCAAAAAUUGUUUUAGCAAAUCAUUUUGCGUGAUUAGUUUACCACGUAGCGAUUACCAUCACAUGUUGAUAUCUGCACAUAUGACAACGAUCAUUAAUUGGGGAAAUGCAAUUCAAUAGUGACAUUUCAGAAAUAUAAAAAAGAGAUCGCCGUUUAGGAAUGCGUGUUUAUGUUGCUGUUGAUUCAAGAUUUUUUUUUCUGUCGUUUUUAUAUUUUAUCGGUAAAACGAGAGAACGACGCACGCGCGCAAAUUGAACUUAAAAGUCCAUUCUUCGGCCAGGAAAUCACUCCCUCUCUUUGGUGUUUUAUAAGCUGUUAAUGUCUCUUUUUUUUGGAAUAUUUCGAUUUUAAUUCGUCUUUUUUAUUAUUUCUUUUUUUAAUAUCCCAAAUGGUAAGUCAUAAAAAAACGAGAAAGAAUUAUCAGAUGUUAGAGGUGAAAGGGAUGUACACGGUUUCCACAACAUUACCGCUCCGUGUCGUUUUAACAGAUAGCCGAGAGGGACAUUGUAAAAGAAAUACAUUCUGUAUCCCUCCCAAUGCAGGGGUUAACAUCCGUCAAAGCCAUCACACUCUCAAGGCCGUGAAGACCUGUUAGGCCUCCUCUUUCACAAAGACUAGACGAUUCGUCUGAUCGCGCACGUGCUGAGCGUGUGACGUCAGUAUGAGAUGACCAAUCGUACCCAAAAAUUUUUCCCAUCCCCUUUGCUUUUUUUUGACGCAGCAAGUUAUAUUUCAAUUUUCAAAAAAUACGGUUUACUGUGAGUAGUUUUAGUGGACCUUUUUCGAUUUUUUUUUUAAGAUGAUCUUAGAGAGAAACAGAUUUUUAUUAAAAUUUCAUGUGACUUUUUUAUUUUUUGUUUUAAACGUUUGUGUGUGUGUGUGUGUGUGUGUGUGUGUGUGUGUGUACAAAUAUAAAGGAUGUUAUUUAAGACGCGACUUUUUUCCUCUUCGUUUUUAGUUGCUAGAUUUACUUGGAAUGUUAUAUGAACUAGGGAGUUAUGGAAUGUUAAUCGAAGAAUUGAAAGAUGUUUUUAUAUGUUGCAACUCUAGUUAAGGGCGAACCAAUCAAAUUUAUUUGGAAUUAAUGAGUAUUUGGUAUAAUGAUCUCGAAACAUUUUGUACUGAUU
rnacentral:lncRNA from 1 species